rnacentral:rRNA from 1 species
GUACACAAAAGCGCAUGUGCUGUGAGCUCGAUGAGUAGGGCGGGACACGUGGUAUCCUGUCUGAAUAUGGGGGGACCAUCCUCCAAGGCUAAAUACUCCUGACUGACCGAUAGUGAACCAGUACCGUGAGGGAAAGGCGAAAAGAACCCCGGCGAGGGGAGUGAAAAAGAACCUGAAACCGUGUACGUACAAGCAGUGGGAGCACAGGUUUACCUGUGUGACUGCGUACCUUUUGUAUAAUGGGUCAGCGACUUAUAUUCUGUAGCAAGGUUAACCGUAUAGGGGAGCCGUAGGGAAACCGAGUCUUAACCGGGCGUUAAGUUGCAGGGUAUAGACCCGAAACCCGGUGAUCUAGCCAUGGGCAGGUUGAAGGUUGGGUAACACUAACUGGAGGACCGAACCGACUAAUGUUGAAAAAUUAGCGGAUGACCUGUGGCUGGGGGUGAAAGGCCAAUCAAACCGGGAGAUAGCUGGUUCUCCCCGAAAGCUAUUUAGGUAGCGCCUCGUGAAUUCAUCUCCGGGGGUAGAGCACUGUUUCGGCUAGGGGGCCAUCCCGGCUUACCAACCCGAUGCAAACUGCGAAUACCGGAGAAUGUUAUCACGGGAGACACACGGCGGGUGCUAACGUCCGUCGUGAAGAGGGAAACAACCCAGACCGCCAGCUAAGGUCCCAAAGUCAUGGUUAAGUGGGAAACGAUGUGGGAAGGCCCAGACAGCCAGGAUGUUGGCUUAGAAGCAGCCAUCAUUUAAAGAAAGCGUAAUAGCUCACUGGUCGAGUCGGCCUGCGCGGAAGAUGUAACGGGGCUAAACCAU